GGAAGCAUGGUCCAGCAGACAGGGUACUGGACUGGAAAUUCAGAGACUUGGGUUCUAUUCCCAGUUCUGCCA
rnacentral:tRNA from 1 species